UACAGAGGGGGCAAGCGUUGUUCGGAAUUACUGGGCGUAAAGGGCGCGUAGGCGGCAAUUCAAGUCAUCUGUGAAAUCUCCGGGCUUAACUCGGAACGGUCAGAUGAUACUGCUUUGCUAGAGUGCAGAAGGGGCAAUCGGAAUUCUCGGUGUAGCGGUGAAAUGCGUAGAUAUCGAGAGGAACACCAGAGGUGAAGACGGGUUGCUGGGCUGACACUGACGCUGAGGCGCGAAAGCCAGGGGAGCAAACGGG
rnacentral:rRNA from 1 species